rnacentral:rRNA from 1 species
UACGAAGGGGGCUAGCGUUGCUCGGAAUUACUGGGCGUAAAGGGAGCGUAGGCGGAUAGUUCAGUCAGAGGUGAAAGCCCAGGGCUCAACCUUGGAACUGCCUUUGAUACUGGCUAUCUUGAGUUUGGGAGAGGUAUGUGGAACUCCGAGUGUAGAGGUGAAAUUCGUAGAUAUUCGGAAGAACACCAGUGGCGAAGGCGACAUACUGGCCCAAUACUGACGCUGAGGCUCGAAGGCGUGGGGAGCGAACGGGG